UUCAAUUGACUGUGAUGAUAUUUUGAUUUGGAAAUUACAUGAUAGAGCUCUUAUGCAAUUAAUCACUGCCACACUGUCUCCGAUUGCA
rnacentral:sRNA from 1 species